rnacentral:misc_RNA from 1 species
GAUGAAGAACGUAGCGAAAUGCGAUAAGUAAUGUGAAUUGCAGAAUUCAGUGAAUCAUCGAAUCUUUGAACGCACAUUGCGUCCUCUGGUAUUCCGGGGGGCAUGCCUGUUCGAGCGUCAUUAUAACCACUCAAGCUCUCGCUUGGUAUUGGGGCUCGCGGUUCCGCGGCCCCUAAAAUCAGUGGCGGUGCCUGUCGGCUCUACGCGUAGUAAUACUCCUCGCGAUUGAGUCCGGUAGGUCUACUUGCCAGCAACCCCCAAUUUUUACAGGUUGACCUCGGAUCAGGUAGGGAUACCCGCUGAACUUAAGCAUAUCAAUAAGCGGAGGA